CUGGUAAAAUCCUCUUUCGCGAAGCUUCGAGAAAUGUAAAUACAAACAAUCUUCUACAAAAAGAUACUUGUACAGUAGGAGCUUCGUAUUGGGCGUGUGUAUUCUUCCUAUUGGCUAGCUCCCUCCAUGCCGUAAAUACGAUGUUCUUUGGACUAUCGGUGGGGGAAAAAGAGUUGGUAUAUAAGCAGCGACUGAACCAGAAGAGGUCAGUCUGUUUUUGAGAAAAAAAUUCAAAUGUAUUAUUUAAUCAUAUUCUUUUUUGUUCUGAUGUGCGUGGUUGGCCCCUUUGGAGCUGUUGCGCCGGGGUGCCCGACUUUUUGUGCUGGCUGUACUUGUGAAUGUUGCGGUGAUCAAACUUGCCUACCCUCUCUUACUUUUACUCCCACUUGCCAGGAUCCAUGGAAAUAGAAGAUGCCUAAAUUCAUUUAAUUCCUCUACUUCUGUUUCAACUUCAUGUUCUUCAAAAUCUUCGGAUAUCUUGCACUUCCUCAUUCAAGUCGCAAAUGUUAAACUAUAAAUAUUUUCAUUGCUUUUGUAUUAAUAAAAAAAUGUUUAAAACACUA